rnacentral:rRNA from 1 species
GACGGAGGAUGCAAGCGUUAUCCGGAAUGAUUGGGCGUAAAGCGUCCGCAGGUGGCAGUUCAAGUCUGCUGUCAAAGACCGGGGCUCAACCUCGGAAAGGCAGUGGAAACUGAACAGCUAGAGUAUGGUAGGGGCAAAGGGAAUUCCUGGUGUAGCGGUGAAAUGCGUAGAUAUCAGGAGGAACACCUGCGGUGUAGACGGCUUACUGGACGGUAACUGACGCUGAGGCACGAAAGCGUGGGUAGCAAACAGG